GAUGAACGCUAGCGGCAGGCUUAAUACAUGCAAGUCGAGGGGUAGCAAGAUUGUAGCAAUACAAUUGUUGACGACCGGCAAACGGGUGCGGAACACGUACACAACCUUCCUACAAGUGGGGAAUAGCCCAGAGAAAUUUGGAUUAAUACCCCGUAACAUAGCGAUGUGGCAUCACAUUGCUAUUAUAGCUUCGGCGCUUGUUGAUGGGUGUGCGGCUGAUUAGAUAGUUGGCGGGGUAACGGCCCACCAAGUCUACGAUCAGUAGCUGAUGUGAGAGCAUGAUCAGCCACACGGGAACUGAGAAACGGGCCCGACUCCUACGGGAGGCAGCAGUAAGGAAUAUUGGACAAUGGACGCAAGUCUGAUCCAGCCAUGCCGCGUGAAGGAUUAAGGUCCUCUGGAUUGUAAACUUCUUUUAUAAGGGACGAAAAAAGGUCUUUCUAGAUCGUCUGACGGUACCUUAUGAAUAAGCACCGGCUAACUCCGUGCCAGCAGCCGCCGCCGUAA
rnacentral:rRNA from 1 species